rnacentral:RNase_P_RNA from 1 species
UCGGAAAGGCGGAGAAUCGCUCCCGGCCUUCGGGCCGGGGGAGGAAAGUCCGAACUCCGCAGAGCACGAUGCCGCGUAACCCGCCUCCUUUUGGGAUCGGCCGGGAUACACGCGGGCGGCGGCCGUCAAGGGCCGCUGACGGACAGUGCCACAGAAAACAGACCGCCUCCGGGGCAACCCGGCGGCAAGGGUGAAAAGGUGCGGUAAGAGCGCACCGCGCCAAGCGCAAGCAAGGCGGCACGGAAAACCCCAUCGGGAGCAAGGCCAAAUAGGGGACCGCGGGGUGGCUCGCUCCUGUCCCGCCCGCAAAGGCGGGACCGGUCCCGGGUACGGCCGCUCAGAGAAAUGAUUCUCUCCCUCCGCAAGGAGGCAGACAGAAUUCGGCUUACAGCCUUUCCGAAGUC